GCGUCACUUGUUCUUUACUCGUACAAGCUGACACUUUACUCCGGAUUCACAAGUGAAACAUUUUUUUCGGAACUGAUUAGGCUCAAACUAAUGCAAGGCAAACUUGCGAUGUAAUUAGUGUCUCUCUGUGUCUCAUGGGAACUUUUUUCGGAACUGAAGGGCAUGUUCAGAAAUCACUCAAACAGAACGCGUAUUUCUUAUGGACGUAUACGAUGCUAAAGCGGAAUUUGGUUGCUAUAGCAGAAACUCCUUCUGUCGAUAUAAGUCCGCCAUUCGAACAUAUUUGAUUAUAUAUGUAGAUCGGUGCAAAGUUGGAG